rnacentral:lncRNA from 1 species
AUGAUGAACAGCAAUAUGUAAAGUGUAAGCUGAAUAAACCCUUUCCUUCCCAACUUGCUUCUUGGUCAUGAUGUUUGUACAGGAAUAGAAACCCUGACUAAGACAGGAGCCUAUUAACAGAACACCAUGAACUCCACACACCCUAGUGUAUAAUCCUGCACAUUUUGACCGAGUUGGAGCUAGGUGACAUUAAUAAUAUGAAGACAUGUUAGAAUGAUCAGUAGGCAGGCUUAUGUGGCAGUUGUCAUGGCCCUGGCCUCCUAAGAGUGUUUGAUCUUGUUCUGCCGUACCAUUUGAGGGACCGAGCAGUGGGGCAUGUCUAUAGCUAUAAAGCAUUUUGCACAGUCUAGACAUCCUGGUGGGAUGUGUGAUUUCUUGUGACAGUGUUCUUGAGGCGACUGUCUGUGUGCCUCCUGUUCUUCUCUUGCUGCACCUCCGGAUGCCCUUCCUGUGCACUUGCUGGAUAAACAGGCUGAAAGGAGUUUCCUCAAACCUAUUUCUCGAAACCUAAAUCGUAUAGAAGAUCUGUGUGCACUGCCCAUUGUAGGGGACUGUGCAGGAGCCUCACUCUGAACUGCUGUAAUAGGAUUAGCCUAUUUGGCUUUAAACUGCUGUAAGAUAAACUGAUUGCUUCAUGGGGACACUUUUUGAGCUGCUCAGCACUUUGCCCAAAAGAAAGUAAACUCCAGAAGUGAAAACUAGUCCCUAAUUACUAUGUUAUUUUGGACUCGAUAUUUAUUACUGACGGAAUUCCCUGAGCUGCAGUGCAGGAGGUUUCCGCAGGGAAGGUACAGGGGAGGAGGCGGGGGCUGGGGAGAGUGCCCAUGUUGUGCAGCAUCUGCUUCUUACAGAGAAGACCCAUCUUCCAACUGAGCCCUUGGGGCAUGAACUUCGUCCUACACUGUGGGAGGGAACUUACAGGUAUCGGCUGCUUUGCUCUGUGCAUGUGAUUAGGAGUUGAGUGUACCAGGAAGCAGGCAGACUCUUCUUGGACCAGGACAUUUUACGAAGGAAAUGACAUAUUUUUGUUGUGUUCUGUACUGUACUUUAUUGAUUUUGACAGUAUUUGAAGACUUUGUUUUCCUUGUAAAUAGAUUUGAUUCCAUGAAACAGAAGCAUCCAGGUUGACAGCUAGGGCUACAUAGAGAAACCCUACAUUGAAAAUUAAAAAAAAAAAGGAGGAAGAGGAAGAGAUGCAAGAGGAGGAGGAAGAUGAGGAAGAUGGAGAAGAUGAAGAAGAUUCAUUGUCAUCAUCAUCAUUCAGAUGUGGAGAUAUGAGAAAACCUCAAGGUCAUGGUCAUAAAGUGGUUCUGGGAACCCUGCCCCUAAUUCCAUUCUUCUGGCCUAUUGGGUGCCUCCCAUCUCUGGACAAUGCUGUAGCUGAAAUUUGGCCCCGGUCAGACUCAUUGGCCCAAGGAAAUAGUCUCUGAAGGUAUAGGGACUUUCCAUAUCAGGUCAGAACCAAAGUUAGGUAGUCCAUUGUGAAACCCUGUGAUGUCCUAAGCUUUUAGGUCAGAGCCAGAGCCAGAGUGUAGCUGGGGGAAUGGGAAGAAGCUAUCUGUAGAUGAAUUCCAAUUGCUGGUUAUUACACAGUUACAUUAGAGUCUACAAGAAAAUCUUCUCAAAGUAAAUACAACACUGAAGACUUUUACAUGAAGUUUUCAUUUCAGUUUUAUAAGAUAGAUAAAAAAUGAAUGAUUCCAAAUAAUCAUUUGAUGAUUGCUAAAUUAAGCAUUGCAACACGAUGCAACAAUUGCCCAUAGCGCUAGCUCAGUGUCAUGCAUGCAGUUUGAAAUGAUUUUUGUGAAGCGCAAGUCAAUAGAAAAGCAUUGGCUCUUUAAAGAGGAGCAGGAUACCACAUGGCUUGUGCACUGCUAUUGCCCUGUGUUAAAGACUUACAAACCUAUGUGCAGAGCAGAGGCUAGGAGACAGAGAACUGUAGGUGCUGACAGACAGGCUUUGGUGCUUUAAAUUUCUCUUUAAAAUAGUCUACUGUUUUGCUUAUUACCACGUGGUCUCUUUGACAGUUAGGGAAGUAGAGUUUAAUCUUGAUGUCUUCACUAUUAUUAUUAAUGUCCUAUCAAGGCCUCCGUCUUCUUGUGUGGAGUGUUAGCCUGAGCAUUGCUGGCACCAUCAUGGUUAUAAUGAGUUCCUCUCUGGUUUGCACCAUGUACAAUGUUUACAUCUCGUUUAUGGGGUGGCCCUUGCUCGUAUAUCAGCAAGUAUGAGAGAACAGAAGGUCCCGUGGGGGAUCACUGCUAGGUGUGGAAUGUCCUAGGGGAGCAUCUGUCCAUCCAUGCGGUGGCCUCUCAAAGGUCUCCUGAGAGCCCACCGCUAGGUUCUCUGGAUGGAUUUUCAUGCAGAUCUGUAUGUCCAAAGGUGAGGCUCCAAGUGCCACAUUGAGGGGCCUAUCAUCACCCUGUUCAGUGGUUUUCCCCGUAGAAUGUUCCACAUUGGGAUAAUUAUAUCAGUAUCCUCUGAAACAUCUUUAUACUAGAAGUCACAGGAGGACAUUUGCCACAGGAGUUACUUUAGGAUUACUGAUUCUGUCAUUUCAGGGCUCCUUAAAUUUAGGAUGUAUCGAGCCCAUGACAUUCAGGGACAACCCUUGUUGAUCAGGCUUUUAUUUCUCCCAGGCAGCCAGCCACUGAGUUUCAGUGUUGCCUGUAUGCUGCUGAAACAAAGUUUCCAAUCCCAGGCUGAAGCACAGGGAGAUGCUGGUGGGCCAGUGCUGUGGGAAGUUGCUUUCAUCCUGUCUAGGAGAAGGGAUGACGCUCUGCCCCGCUCACACUGUAGGACAGGGGGCAACAGGU